rnacentral:pre_miRNA from 1 species
UGAAGGUAAUUAAAUUUGAGGAAGAAAACGAGAAGGGACGGACAAAUACCCGUCCCUUCUCGUUUUCUGCCUCAAGUUUAAUUAUCCCUAC